rnacentral:rRNA from 1 species
CAGUAGCCGCGGGAAUACGGAGGGUGCAAGCGUUAAUCGGAAUUACUGGGCGUAAAGCGCACGCAGGCGGUCUGACAAGUCAGAUGUGAAAUCCCCGGGCUUAACCUGGGAACUGCAUUUGAAACUGUCAGGCUGGAGUCUUGUAGAGGGGGGUGGAAUUCCAGGUGUAGCGGUGAAAUGCGUAGAGAUCUGGAGGAAUACCGGUGGCGAAGGCGGCCCCCUGGACAAAGACUGACGCUCAGGUGCGAAAGCGUGGGGAGCAAACAGGAUUAGAUACCCGAGUAGUCCCUGUCUCUUAUAC